CUUAAUCGAGAAACGGGAAAUGGCUAGAACCUACAAGGAAUGUAAUUCGUUCCCUUCAUACUUGAAGAACCACAGCUUCAGGGAAGGAAUGAGAGCAUUGGUCUUAGGCAUAAUUGUUGUGAUCAUGAACAUAUGACAUGAAAUGUGAGCACUGGCAAAGACAUCCUGUCAAUUCACUUAAUAUAUUUUUUGAUUGCCUUCAAGAAGAAGAUAUUGAAGGACAUUCAGAUCAUGUUUUACAGCCAGUAUUGGAAGUAUUUUUAAACACUCCCCUCUCCUUUUUUUUUUUGGACGUGGGGCAUAAGGAAGAAGGCACUUUUUAUUUGAAUGGCCAGGUGGUAAGUAGGGGAGGGAAGAGCUGUUUGAUCAAUAAUGAUUUAUUAAUCCAGAGGCCACAUACUAUAGUCAUUUCUUCGGAAAAGUCUAACUGACGUCAAUGACUUUGAACAUGCAUUCUGAUUGCCUUUGCAUUCAGUCUUAUCUCAAUUUCAUCAUACCACUAACCACCUCCUUUUACCUUCAAACAAUGGCUUCACCAAGCCACUUCUGAGCAAGCCCCAGGCUUCCUUUCCUGGGGGAAAAUUACCUCACUUUCCUGAAAACGUGUCCAACAGAAACAAGAGCACUUCUUUCUAUGAAAAGCAGACAGCAAUAUUAACAUUUGCCAAUUUAGUUGGUGAUUUGCUCAAUUCAAGGACCACAGAAUGUUUGUAGUAGGGCUAAAUGUGUAGCCGGGUAGUUUUGGGGGAGGCUGUUUUGCUCUUGUAUAUAUUUUUAGCAAGUGAGAAAUAGUGAUCUUUCAUAUAAAACAGAUGCGUGGUUUGCACAAAAUUAACAUGAUUUGUCCUUUGCUAGGCAAAAUGGAAGUGGUGAGUGGUGCAGUAUUUCAACUAAAAGAUAUAUUAUAGAACAUUAACAUAUCAAGUUAGAAGAAUGUUCUUUGCAAGCAAAAAUAUUGAUUCAUUAAAAAAACUUUUCAAAAUAGAAUUGUUCAUAAGUUAUUAUUGCUGUUCCCAUAAAAAUAUUUUCUGUUUAAAUUCAUAACAAACAUUCUUAGGAGGCGAAAUGUCUUUUCUAUGUCCCAUUUAACAAUGUAAUCACUUUGUUUUCAAAAUCUCAUUUUAUUCCAGCUGGAAGAUAUAUGAUCUUGUUAUACAAAACAAUCACUUCAUCUCUGCAGAGCCUUAUUAUUGGAAUAUAUGAUCUUAUCUUCUACGUUGACUUCAUUCUCACGCAGAGAAUGAAGAGCAGGCAACUUGAAUUGUCUGUAUAGAGGAAUCCCAG